CUUUUUCCUAACAUCCUUUGGCUGGAGUCAGAAGAAGACCUAUCAGCAAUCCGUGUCUAUAGCUCCGAAGAAGACUGCUUCUUCCCCAUCAUCAAACAUUGACCCAUCCUAGAUGAACCACAUUUCCUCAGACUGAUUCAAGGCUGACCCACCCCAGGGAUUGUUGGAUCAAAGAGAAAAUAGGAAGUGACUAGAUUACGAAGGCUUUCUUCAAAUAAAAACUAAAGUGCAAGGAGUUAAGAUGUCAGCUAGCUCUGCU
rnacentral:lncRNA from 1 species